UACGUAGGGGGCAAGCGUUGUCCGGAUUUAUUGGGCGUAAAGGGAACGCAGGCGGUCUUUUAAGUCUGAUGUGAAAGCCUUCGGCUUAACCGGAGUAGUGCAUUGGAAACUGGGAGACUUGAGUGCAGAAGAGGAGAGUGGAACUCCAUGUGUAGCAGUGAAAUGCGUAGAUAUAUGGAAGAACACCAGUGGCGAAAGCGGCUCUCUGGUCUGUAACUGACGCUGAGGUUCGAAAGCGUGGGUAGCAAACAGG
rnacentral:rRNA from 1 species